UACGGAGGGUGCUAGCGUUGUUCGGAAUUACUGGGCGUAAAGCGCACGUAGGCGGUUUUGUAAGUUAGAGGUGAAAGCCCGGGGCUCAACCCCGGAAUUGCCUUUAAGACUGCAUCGCUUGAAUCCAGGAGAGGUGAGUGGAAUUCCGAGUGUAGAGGUGAAAUUCGUAGAUAUUCGGAAGAACACCAGUGGCGAAGGCGGCUCACUGGACUGGUAUUGACGCUGAGGUGCGAAAGCGUGGGGAGCAAACAGG
rnacentral:rRNA from 1 species